GGGAUUAUUAGUAACAUGACUAAAAAUCAAGUAUACGGAAUCAUUGCGCAAAUGCGUGCAUACGUACGCUCGUAUUUUUCGUUCUUGGAGCCGUACAUUCCGUUCUUGAAGGAAGUGAAACCGGUAAAACCGGUAAAACCGGUGACGGCGACUGAGAAGCGGGAGCCGUAUCUGGCGUCGCUGAUACAGCUAGCAGGCCAAGCCGCCCCUGUUGCCAUUGUCAUGGCCAUAGCCAGCACCGUUUGCUUAACUCGCUUUGGUCGAAGCCCGAGACUCACAGAUGCCACGGGCGAUUCCAAGGCGAGGGAGACGUAGCCAGAUUCCCGACAGGCCAGCCAGGCCGGGAGUGACGAGCGAAAGGGUCAGUCCGAGUCCCACUUCACAGGUAAUGGGUCUGCUCAACCUGACCCCCUCGUCAAAGGUAAGGGAACGGCUCUCCCUGACUCCCUCUUCAAAGGUAAGGGACCUGACUCCCUCGCCUAAGGUAUGGGAACGGCUCUCCCCGAGUUCCACUUCUUACGCGAGACGCUGCCGUUUACGUUGAGGAAAAAACCUAUGAAGAGGUAGAGCUCUAACCUGAACGCCCUCGAGAGGAGGAGAAUACUUGAAAGACAAAAGCCAAAGAUUGAAUCAAUCCGUUUGGAAAAGUGAUCUUGGUUUUUCGUUUCGACCACUACUUGAAAACGAAAAAACCCACGUGGGGUUGAAAUAAAAGAACACGCUAUUGACAGCGAUAUGGAAAUUUAAUUUUUUUUGAAUUGAGAAUGAUAAAAGGACUCAUUCGCGGAGCAGGGAGACCUGCGGAGCAGCAGAGGCCUGAUAAAAUGAUAAUGAAGCAAAGCCAAAGAUUAUUCUAGAAUGGUGAUCUUGGUUUUGUUUCGACCACUACAUGAAAACGUAAAAACCCACGUGGGGUCGAAGCUAAAUUGAUGCAU